UAAAUUUAUUUCAGUUCAUAACAAUGUCAAAAUACUGCCAAAUUUUCUUACAGUGAGUCUAGGGAAAGCAUUAGGCUUAACCAUACAAAUCAAAUUGAGUUUGCCAAGGUGACCUUCAGAAACUUAUAAACCAUGCCAGUAGUAACGCGUGAUGACCUCAACAAGUCAUUCUAAGACAACCUUACUUACAGAAAAACUUUUGGUAAGGUGGCUGGGGAUAUUCUUGUAUGCAGACAGUUUAGAUUUUUCCCUGUAUUUAGUUCUUUGCUCCAGCUGUCCUGUUCUUACCCUGUCUCAUACCUUGACUCAGAGCAUGGCCUGAGUAACCUCUCAGUUUCUGCAGUGGUGCCAAAAAUAUUGUACAUGACUUUCUGGCUUUAAUUCCAUACAGAAUGAUCCAUGUAUCCCUGAUAUAAUUCUUCUAGUGUCAAGUAAUGGGGCUAUUUCCAUUGAGAAUUGCUAUAGGCAAACAGAUGCAAUUAAGCACCUAGUACAAUAAUACCAAGAAAUCCCAAUAAACUGAUGAAUGUGAAUUUAAAUCUUGUGCUCUUUCUAAUGAUUUCCCAUAUAAAUAGGUUAACAUCUUCUCUCCCUAUGUCUACGGGGAAAGGUUAAAAUACUAACAGGGAAUAUGGAUUUUCCAGUCAGUCAAGGAGAGCUCUUUCUAAUGCUCAUACAAUGCCAUGACUUCACAUAGCAGAGGUGGAGCACUUACAGGUAAUAUCCUGCACAUUCUUAUGGUAUUUCUUGGCAUCAGAGGCCUGCCAGAGACCCAGAAUUUCAGGAUACAUUAAAAACAUUCCAGUAUCCUCCCCAGUCCAUAUAAAGUCCUUGCUUUGGUCGGGAGGAAAUAUUUCAUGACAUUAGAUUUCUUUGCUAAAGGCUUGUCAGGAGCUUCAUCAAAGCACUUCAGAAAAUGUCUAGUUAAAAUAGUACAUAAACUGAGUAACAACAGCAGAGGGUCUGUGAUCCUAGGAUGUUUCUCAGGAAUAUUGUUCUUCAUCCAAAAAGAUACAGGAUUUUGUUCUGUAGUUUGUUCUGGUUUCUUAGAAGGGAUGGGAUGCAAGUGCUUUGGGACCAUCUCCUGGUCAAACAUUGUGUCUUCAUGUCAGGCUUGACCUCAGCAUCCGAAGUGCUGCGAGUAGCAUUGUGACGAGGAUCACCAAGCAGAUGUUCUUAGCAAAAUGGAAAAGUAGACUUACAUCCAGACCAGAGCAGUGUGCUCCAGACCACUUCAAAGCUAAAAAUAGCUUAUUUUUGAAGAGAUGAAAAACACAGAUAUUUGAAGCUCACUUCUAAAUACCAAUUUUGAAUUAGCUGAAAGGAUACCACGCAGCUCCCUCCAGUUUCCUGCCUUCAUCCUGACUUUUCUCACGUAUUUUCCCCUUAUUUUGUGAGUUAAACUGUCCUGUUUCACUUCCCAUAGCCAUCAAUUGCUGCCAAGGAAGGGUCGCAGGUGUCAGGGCUGGAAAAAGCAUCUCAACUGGUUCAAGCUUCUUGCUUCCUCACGGACCACACUGACAGUCACUCAACUCCUGACAAGUCUGCAAUAAAUAGCACUGUAGUAUUCCAGCAGUGUGCUGGAAUAGCAUUCUGCAGUUUUUCUUCUCUGUUUCUGUAUGAAACUCAGUAAAAAUAUUAAUCCAGUACACACACGCAGAAGAAUGCAUUUACUUUCAGUGGCUGCAUUUACCAUCAAAGUUGAUAGUGCUUCCUGAAAUUGGUUUCUGAUCCCCCUGAAAGACUGCGGGUUUUUCUUUCUUUCUUUCUUUUUUUUUUUUUCCGUAAAGGUUAACUUCAGGGAAACUGAACAACAUAUAUGAAACUCUAAAAUAUCAACUUGAAGAUAAAUUGUGGUACCAAGAGUGUAACUCAUGUGAACUGCCUCCAGUUCCCUCAAUUCCCGUGAAUUCCCAGUUUCCACUAGCGGGUGGCAGGCAGGUCAGAGUGUGGUUACUUUCUGCUAAGCUUGUGCCAACAUGUGGUUUUGGUCAUGACAGACAGGUAGGAGGGGAACGAUUUGGAGGGAGUGGAAAUACAAAUACUGUCUUCACACCAAGGAGGUACACCCAUUGGUUUUCACAGCACGGCAUUCAUUCAGUUUAGUCAGACCAUAAUGAAUCGUCUGCGUGUGACAGACCUGCUGCCUAAAAUACCAAGAAUGGUACAGCCUGCACAUUUCUGGCCAGCAGGUUGUCUCCUGUGAUUCAUUCAGCAUCCUUUCUCUGCUCUGCGUAUGAUGAUCUCUUGAGCGUGUAGUUGAAGGCAGGGCUAGAGCUGAUUCUGUUUCUAAAACGUCAGCUACAAGCAGCGUGUGGUGCAGCAUAAGAAGUACUUAAGUGCCCAAAUUUGCCAACAUAGAUUGCUAAGGCAAUCGCUGCUUUGUAGCAGAGACCCACACAAUGCUGGAAGGAACUGACUGCUUCUGCUGGCCAUUAGGAACAGCCCAACGAGGCUUCCCUCUCACUUCACUCUCCUUAACUUUGCAGCACUAAAAGUGGGAGCUGGCAGCUCCCCAGCAGUCCUGUGGCUGGUUUUAAUUUGCAUUAACUUUUCUGUAGACUGGGUCCAGCUGAAGUAUUUUCUUGUCUGUAUACAUGCUCCUGGCCCCAUUUUCCAGGACUUUGGCUUGUGCAAAAGCAGCAGGUUUGGGAAUGUCACUCGGAGGGUUUGGGCUGUAGAGCUGUCAUGGACUGAGAGUGCUCUGCCAGGGAGCCCUCUGUGAACGUAAGCAGGUCCCCCACACCUGCACAAACACCCCACCACUGUUCCCAAGGGUAAUUAGUGUUCUCUUAAUUAGCAGUUUGUACUUCUGCACAGCACACACUAUGACCUGCCUCCUGUCCUGCACCCAGGUGCAAAGGCUCUGCUGAUGGAUGCUACGUGCUUACAAAAUCUAAAACUGAAAAAUUGGGCAAUAUCAGAUUUACAUUUGUACAUGCAACCUGAAAUCUGCCCACUCACAUAUCUGUGUGCUGAGUGACAUAGGGGUGCUAGUGAAAUGUGUGAUCUAAACUCUUUCGCAAAACUAGGACAAAGGUUGCAGGAAAAGACAAGGAAGGCCUCUUGCAGCCUUCAAGUGCUAGAAUUUGCAAUUACUAUCUUAUUAACAUAGCUUUCUAUAGAUAAGACUAUGCUUUACAAAGAAGAAAGGUAUAAAAAGAAGCUUUGCUAGAGUUGCAGCGUGUUUUUUUGAUACAAGCUUCUUAUUGUUUCAUUACUUUAAUUGCCAGAGGACAGUUUGCUCUAUGCUAGGGCAGGACUCUGUCUCCAUGUGCUUGAUGUGCUACUGUAGGUGCCUAUGCUGGUACAGUAUAUCCUAUGAAAACAUGACAGAGUUCAGCAAUGAAAAACAUGCGUGCAUGACGGCUAUGACUUAAAGACAUCAGAGCCGAUGGAGAAAAGUUACUUUGUACUGAGGGUAAAAGGAUAGAAGGGGAAGUACUUCUUCCAUCUGAAGUUAAUAUGUGGAAACCUCACCAAAAUCCAACACUGAACACAUGUGGCCUUUUGGAAAGUGUUUCUGUGCAAAUGCGUCCCCAACAUCCAGAGUGAUAAAAAUCAUGUACUGAGCUGAGUCGAAUGGCGUAGCUGAAGUGGAGCUGUAAAUACAGUGGUAGGCGGUUUCCUGCCAAAACUCCCCUGCAUGUCCAAGAACCCACUGUGACUCAGCCAUUGCAGUCACUGGGAACUCAGCACAGACACCCUUUCUAGCUGGGUAUUUCUACUUCUCUUUUUGCACCAUGUCAAGAGGGGCUCUAUUCAUCCAUGGAGGAGAAAAACCUGACAGUAUGGCCCAGUAUUUUUGUUCUCUUAAAGUAACGAUCUUAUUGUAGAAAAGCAAGACUGCUGGAACUUCUUGUGAAACUGGCAGUCACCCAUGCCUGUCUGCUUGGAUUCUUGUUAGAUCUUCAUGUGAAAGUUCUUAGGAUUUCCAUUAAGAGUUUAAAUGGUUCUUACAUGCAUCUCUUGGUGGCCUGAAAGUGAAGUUUUUAUUGCUUUCCUUUUAUGUACAAGAAGACUGAAGAAUGACUUUUUUGUUUUAAAGUGUGAAUAUGCUGAAUUGGAGGGAGGUGAUUAAGUACUUGGUUAUAAUGCAUUUUCUAAUGUCCAUACUGUUCCUUCAAAGAGUUAGCAUCUUCAGAAAGAUGAUCCAAGCUGGAAGAAGCCACACCCUUGGCAAAAUAACAGCAAGAGCAAUGCUGAGUAGUUUCUAGGUCAGCAGCAUCUAGGGUCUCACCUGCCCAUGAAUAUUUGAAGCUGUCAAAUGUCAUCCCCUUAUUCCUCUGGAUUCAUAGCUUUGAUAUGUCUCUGUCAUUUAAGAUAACACUUCCUUUAGUCCGUUUUGAACCCGUGCAGAUGGUUGCCUCUGUAUGCAAAAAGUUCUGUACCCACCAAGCUUUACACUUAGCAUUGGCAAUUAAUAAAGCAAAUCUGAGAGAUUUGCAGUUCCCAUCAGCUAAGCUAGAUUGGGCUAUUCUGUUUUCCCUUCCUUUUCCCAUGCAGUAUUUAUUCUGUUGCUUCAUUUUUUCUUCUCUCAUUUCUAGCCUGUCUCAUCUCCUCCAGCUCACAUUCUUAUUCCUAAUUCUCCUUUUGUUUUUUUCUUUUUUCUUUUUUUUUUUUCAUCCUGUGUUAAUCUCAGCUAAUUCUGUAUUGGCUUCCACAAUUCUACUGGGACUCUGUCCCCAUCUGACCUUUCUCUUGCAUGAACAAAUUCCAGUGUCCCAGAUUUAAAAAUUUACUCCACUCUGCUUUUCUCUGCCUUCCAGCCUGCUGUUUAUUAAUUGCUUCCUGAAUUUUCUGCUUGAUACCCUUUUACUCUUUAACACUUCUUUUACUUUCAACAUGCUCUCCGUCUUUUACUUUCUUUCUCUGUCUCCAUUAACGUAUACUUCAGACAGUUUUGGUUUUUGUUCUGAGAAUCAUCUACCUUCUCCAGUUUUCCACUUAGCAUCUGAAGCAUAUCUAUGGUUCCGUUACUGAACUUCCUUUCUGGGAAGUGCAGGCUCCUUGUGCUUUGACUCAGGUCAUUAACAUCUAAGUGGAUUCAUUUUUUUCUUGCAAAUCGGGGGUUGGACUCGAUGAUCUCUGGAGGUCCCUUCCAACCCCUAUGAUUCUGUGAUCCUGUGAUUCCCAAAACAACCCACUUUUAUCCUCUUUUCCUCAGUCCCCUCCAGUAGGGCACACAACAGUGCUAUGCAGUUCAUUCUGUUUGAUGAAAGCCACUACAGAGUUGCUGCUCCUCAGACAAGAAAUCUUUUGCUGCUCUCACAGCUGUGACUUGUGGAGGGUUUGGUAUGUUUUGAAAUGCUCCAAACUCAAAAGCAAGAGUCAGGGUUUUCACCUAGAGUCCCUGAGGAGGAGAUACCCAAGCUGGCACCAGGAAGGGGCAGAGGGCAGAGGUGAGGGAUGCAGCGGUUGGCAAAGGGCAGUGAGAAGGGAGGCAGCACUGGGAGUGCCUGGCUCCUGGUUGGGGGCCUGAGGGCAAACACUGCCAGAGCCCUUGUAGUUCAGCACUUUCUUCUAUCAGGAAUACAGUGAUAUAGACUGUGAGCACAGUACAUCCACUUCCACGCAGAAAUUCUAAUUUCUGAAUCUUAUUUCACCGAGUGACUCGAAUUCUACUUCUCCUCUUCCCCCACACACUCCUUUUUUAAGUAUAUUAGCACUUAAGGAAAAUUUCUGGGCCACGUGGGUAGCAGUCCCAGUACCCCACAAACACAGAGCGGCUGCCGAGAUCCUGCUUUCUGAGAAGAGCUUACCAGAAUGACCGGAGUUGGGUGAGUAGGCAGAGCCUGGGCUGCUGCACAGUGCUGCACCCACCUGCAUUCCUGCGAGGCGCAAUGACUGCUGCUGUGCUGGGACGGCCCGUGCUCAUGUCGGUGAGGGAGAGCAUUGCACCCUAUCAGCCGCGGUGAGUCAUCUGCACCUUCUGCUACCUCUGGGGUGCAUUUUACUUCAGGUUACUUUAGGGCAACAUCACUGUCAAUGUUUCCUUUACUAGAAUCUGGAGCCACAGAGAUGAAAAUAAUUACCUCUGCCAGAGUCAUUAAAACUGCCAGCUAGUUCCCCAUAGAGAUAAAAGAAUCAGAUUUUGAGCGGCACUCAGCAGUGCCAUUCAAGUGCUCACUCUCUUCAUAAGAAAUAAUGAAGUUAGUGAAAUUCCCAAGUAUUCAAGCACAUGCACCUGCCUGCACUUUUUUUCUGAGUGAAUGGAAACAGAGCAAAGAAACAGGUUUGGGGCCAAUUAACCAUGAAAUAAAAGGAAUUCUGCCAGAAGACUAGCCAGCCCAUUUUUAAUUUGUGGCGUUCUUUUGUCUUAACGCUGUGUGCAACUUGACAUUAAGCUUUAACUUGGAAUGGGCUUCUUUACACCAUGACUCUGAAUUACAUGCACUCUUUUGGACUCACCAUAUUGUGAGGUUGCCAGUUUAAAAUUCCAUGUGGCCUAAAAUAAUUCAGUAACAGUGUCUGAACCCUGGAUGACAUGUCAUGCCUUUCAAUUCACAGCUCUGUGAUGGCUUGGAAAACUUUCCAUCUUGAGCUUCCCUUAACAUCUUCCUCUGUUUUUCUCUUGUACAUAUGAUGAAGUAGUUUGCAGGGACAGAUUUAAUAGGAACUUGAACUCAGAUUUUCAAAGAAAUUAGGAGAAAAACCUUUUUUUCUUGUGCACUGUGCCUGUCAGCUAUAACUGAGAGGGCUUUCUGGUGAAAUAGGAAAGCCACAAUGAAAAGAAAGGGAAACAAAGUUAACCAGAAAGACACUCAGUUUGUAUUCCGUCUGUUUAUAUUUGUGUCUCUUGUUCACAGGAAGUUCUGCUUUUAUCUUUAAUACUAUGCAAGUUCCUAUAAAAGUCAGUUUAGUUACAAUAUCACUCAGUUUCCAAAGAAAUCACUUGGAUUUGUAUUCAAAAAAAACUUGCUGGCAAGCCCCCUCUGCUGGAUGGAACCAUCAUGUUUUCAUCCCUGCAUGCUGAAGACAUCCAGUAAAAGCAUUACAGUUCAUUAUUGACAAAAUAGGUACAGGCUGAGUUCAGAAGAACAUUACUGCCUUUCUAUUACCUAUUAUUAUCCCAUGGGUUGAGAUUCAAAUAAGAGUUGGGGUGGUCACUGCAAAUAUGUUCAGGUCCCUACAUCUGAGUGAGUAUUCAGUCAAUCUGGCAUCCCGCUAUUUUAUCAUCUAAAUUCUUCUCAACUGUGUCCACUUUCUUCACUCCCAUUGUUUCUCUUAUGUAUUAUUUACAUCUUUUGCCAAUGAUCUCAUUGGAUGCAAUCAGAAUGUACUUACAUAAUAUGCCAGUACAGGAAAUAAAAAAAUAUGAAUCCCAGAAGUAGAUAUGCUUUUCCAGGGCCAUUCAAACUUUGAAGACCUGCUUUGCUUGUCUCUAAGCGUGACAAAGGAAGUUCACUAGGUGAAAAACAAUACUAACUGCUGUUUGAACCACGCUUUUUGUUUGUGUAUGACAAAGCCUUUUGCAGGGGCCAUCCUUUUAAUUACAGAUUGGGAAGCAGGCCUGGCAAGGGAAGACAAUCUAGUCACUAAAUUAGAACUAAAAAGACAUGGUUUUAAGCCCUGUUCUAAAACAGACUGUCUGGUGACCUUAUUUUAAUUAAUUAGGCUAAAAGCCAGAAAAGAGAUUUGCCACAACACUGAGCAUAGAAUUGUGAAGCUCCUGAGAUAAGGCGUUGGACCAGUUUUGUGGACCUCUGCAGUGUACAUGGAGAGCUGAGUUUCUCUGAAAGCAGAUCCAAAGUAGCCAGCAUGCCAUGCUAACAGCCAGUAAGGAAUUAUUGCCUACAGAGGUAAGUCUGAAACAUUUAUCCCUCUUGAGCUCACACACAUUAAUCAAAGGUUUAGAGAGUUCUGUUUUUCAAAAUCAGGUCUUCUAAGAAUGGCAGUCUAAAAAAUCAAGCAAGCUGAGCGAAUGUUGCUGGGGCAGGUGAUCAGUGUAUGGAAAACUGGGAUUUCUGCCCCACUUAGCAUGAUGACAGUCAAACUUUGAGUCCUCCCCUUUCUGGAAGGUGUCCUAACUGCUAAGCAGAGUUCUCUUCUCAAUGAAAGGAAAGGAGGAAUAUUUGUUAGCCAACGGAGACUCAGAGCCUAACAGCUUGAGCACUCACUUAUGAAUGGGAAAUACUGAAUUUCUGGUGUCUCCUCUGAGUCCUGUUAAAUACUGUUCUUUAAGCAGUUAUUAGACAAAGUACAUAAGUGGUAUUUGAAGUUGAGCCAGGACUCAGUGCCUCAUCUCUCUCAAAUCAAUGCCUAAACCUGCAGGCUUAAAGGACAGUCCCAUUCUUUCUGUCUGUAGCUCAGUGGCUCUAGAAUGCCUUUUUGUGCACUAAAGUGAAUUCACAAGACCAUAGAGUGCUUACUUCUAUCAGCUUGUGGCAAGGUCAUCUCUUCAAAAUGAGCUUGACAAGUAUGUGCUUGAGUCCCUUGGUGCCAGGAAGGGAUCUAAGCCUGAAUUCUCGAGUGAUCUCACUGGUCAACUACUGGAUAAAACUGGUGGAUUUAAAAGAUGAUUGAAAGAAAAUGUUUCUAAUGAAUACACUGAAGGGAUGAGAUUUUUUUUCAGUUUGCAAAAAUAGUGACAGUGGUCCUAUAAAGAUCAAAUUGUAAUAAAGAAUUGUAGAUAAAGAAAAACAUAAUGCAUUUGUGUCUUAUGUUAAUACUUUGUAUGUAAUUGUAUUUCAGAUGAAAAUGUGAGCUAAAGUUUCCUGGAAUAUACUGUAAGUACAACUUGUAUCCUAGCGAGUUUAAGUGAGUAGUCGUGAGUAUUCGUAUUAAGUGAGUUAGCUACAGUAGCCAAUAAAUGCUAAAACUAACAACAGGUUUGGCCCAGAAAGAAGUUCUGGGGAAGUUAAAAAACCGAACUUGUGCUUAGAACUUGCAUCUAACUCUGCACAGGACCAAAGCUGCUGCUGAAGUAGAAGUAGUCCUAGUUAUGUGUUUGCGAUGUUUUGUGAGUGCAGUAUUUCCUGUCUGCUGAAAUAUGCAGCUGCAUUGCCUCCCAGGUUUUAAGUCAUAUGUUUCUUGAUAACUGCAGCAGAGUGAAAAAGAUAGUUUUAUUGUAGGGUCCAUGAGCAAUGAAGGAAGAAAAGAAAGAAAGAAAAAAAAGAAGCAGAGCAUAAUCAGAGACUGCUCUAUAGUGGGGAGCGGGGAAGCUCUCCUUCCUCCUGAGGCAUUUGGCCAAGCUUAGACAAAGUUCAGAGCUUUUGUGGUUUGCAAUUGCGUUAUAGAUGUCUCAUCUCACCUUCACAGGAACCUUAUAUUUCCAUGAUCACAGCUAACCUGCUUCCACAGAGCCAAACUGCAUCAAUUCAAGCUGUAGCACUUGGUAAAAUCUGGGAAGUGGAGGCAGCAGCUCCCUUCCACCAGAACAGGAUGGCCAACCAGGGCUUGCCUACAUGGAACCUGCCCCUUCCCUUUCUCACCUUCUGAAAUGCACAGUCUGCCUACUUAGAGCUGCCACAAGAAGAUAGGACAUUUGAGCUAUUAAAAUGAGGUGCUGUAUAUUUAGACACUUGAAGAUAGUAUAACUGUGAAUAAAACACAGCAAAGGAAAGCCACGAUGGAAACUCAUUGUUCAGUACAUGCUUGGAUGAGAGAUGGCUACUGGAAAAAAUUAAAGCAUUUCUCCUAAAGCAUCUGUUGUUUUACACUAAUGAAACAACAAAGCAAUAAUAAAUCCUCUCUUACUCAUGUACCAGGAAUUUCAUGUAGCUUAAUGCAUGAUUACAGAUCAGAGAUUUCAAUUUCAAGAUAAUGUAAAUUGCAACUUGCAAAACAUGCAAAUUCCUUUGAAUUCAAGAACAGAAACUUAAGCGUUCCCCUCACUGUAAGAACAACACAGUCUCUCCUGACUUUGCAAGUCUUUACAAUUAUUAGUGAGUAACACUCCACAGCUGUGUGAUAAAGAUUACAGAAGCACUGGUGUAGCUAUAGUUUUAGGGUGGAAAAUGCAGCCUUUAGACAGAAAUUAUCUGUUUUACACAUUAAUUUUGCAGGGUGAAUUUAAAAGAUGCUCUAAUUACUUUCAGUUCCAUUUCCUUUGGUUGGAAUUUGUUUUCUCCAGCUGAUGUGUCCAGCAAGAAUGCAGGAUGGUACAAUUACAUUUAUAAGAAACAGAAGAGAAAGCAGCUUCAAGCAAAAAGGGCAUUGAGUGAACACUGCCACCUUAUUAGCCAUAUACUAUUUGAAGAUUCUGGAAAUAAAAUGCUGCUCUUCUGGUUGCUUUUCUUUGGGAAGAUGAUUCUGUUCUCACUCUCUAUGGCUGGCGGUAAUGGCAGAAUAUUUAGAGGACUGCAGCUGUCAAGGAUCCUUUUCCACAGAACAUGGAUGUGUUUCAGUUACUGACCAGAGCAUUUAUAGCAUGGAAAGGCACAAAGAGGUGACGCCCACUUCUGCAGAACAUGACAGGAGUUCUCUAAACAUUUCCUCUAAGAAUUCUUUGUAACUGAAAUGAGUCAGCUAAACUGGAGAACUUUGCACUGUUUUCAUUGCCAUUGGGCAACACAUGGUGACAGGAACUGGUUAAGUCUGCACGAUGGCAAAAGCAAUUAAAGUAUUUCUCAUGGCUGGCUGUAUGAGCUAAGGUUUCUACCCUCUCUGCAGAGGUGCUUAAGCCAAAUACUCUUCCCCUCUGCCAUACACAAGAUGCAAUCCUCCACCGACUCCAAUAAGAAUAAGCACACGUGUAGCACCUGUACUAGGUUCUCCAUAAAGAGCACAGGAGGGCACAUUACUAAGGCUUUACUUGAUAGCACUUGCCACAAAAGUUAUUUCAUUUUUACCUUGGAGUGACUUCCAUACAGUUUUUGCAGGACAUCGAUAUGGGAGAGCCCAGACUGUUGUUGCUAUUAGCAGUGUUUUGAUGACAGCUCAUGAAUGAAGGCUCUCAUUGCCUUGUCCAAGUCACCCCUGAAGUGCUGCUUACUCAGAGCUACCUGCUAACUACAGUUUGGCAGCUGGAGCCUUCCUGUGUCAGCAAAUGACUUGCCUGUCUCCAGAUCAUUUGAAAUCAGUGGUGAAACAUACUUUAGCAUCUGUAUGACAGACCAGUCAUACCCAAAGCAUAAAAUACAUGCAGCAGGAGUUCAAGUUAGGGAGGGAAAUAUCUCUGAUUAUCAGCAGGUUAAUUCCAACUCAUUUAUCCAUUAAAGUCAUUAACUUAAGUUCAGUGAUGAUGAGAUAGCCUAAAAAAGCCCUGAAUGAUGAGGGUGUUUUCUCCAGGCUUCACAGAGCAGUGUGUCAGCAUAUCCACUCUGCACCUUUAUGUGGCACAAAACAAACACCAGAAAGCCACAGAAUGUUAUAAUCCUGGGAUUGUCUUAUAUAGCUUUGUGUGCAGUAUAAGAAAAUAAGCAUCAGCUUGGGCAGAUCUCUUAAAGGUGAAGCUUGACUGCUCCUUGUCUGUGCUAGAAGUCUUGUUAGGGACUUCUCAGUAGUAGGAAAGAGACACUGAGAAAAUGAAAGAAACUUUUCUGUAGACAUUAAUCAGUGGACUAGAACAGAGCUCUUCAAAACUUUUUCAGGUAGGAUGGGAGACUCUAAAAUAUCAGAGACCUGACACCUGCUGUAUUGUGGACUAUCUUAUCUAUGUGUAGUCUGACCUUUUUCUUACUCAUGCUGUGCCAGCACCUCUCUCUCAUGUGCACUUCAGCGUGAGGAGUAAUGUCCUUGAAGACUACUUCUUUAGGAAGCACAUGUUGUAGCAGCUGCCAGAAGACUGAAUCCUUUCUAACCCACACAAACCAAAACUCUGUCUCAUCCUGCACACCCUCAGAAUAUGCAAUCAAAUUUAAUCCAGUGUAACUUACAGACUGCCGCCACCAACUCAGAGCCUUUUCCAGCAGCGUGAUGAGCUUCCUCCACUGCCACUGAGUGUGAUUGCUGUGGGAUCACCUCCAGAAAACACAGCCUGCUUAGACAACAGGUGUUCUUCCUGCAGCUCAGAAUAUGUCUCUGUGCUGAGCCAGCUCUUCGUAGGAACUUUGCACACAGUGCUGUGUAACUGCUUUUUACUGAAAGGAACGGAUUUUCUGGUUUUGGAAAACAAAUCCAUUACUCGGUGUACCUUGGCAGUACUUCUGCCCUUCUUAGAACAGUUUCUCUAAGGAAAAUCUUUUAAAAGGGACCUCAUAGUCUCUCUGACUUAUUACACUCCUGUAGGGGUCUUGUCUUCAUCCGUAAAAUUAAUGGCUUAAUAAGCAUUAGAUCCUCCUAUUAUAUGGUAGCAAAUAGGAAUACAAUACUUUUAUCAAUAUUUGGCACAAUUAUUUUUUUUUAUGUGAAACUAAAAUAUUGAUGCUGUCAAGUGACUGUAGCUUAGGGGCAUAAAUUACAAACGUUCUUCUCCAGCGAGCCCAGCUCAAAUUCUGCAUUCAUAUACAGUAACCAUCUAAUGUCUUUCUGUUCCUGUAAGCCAUAUGAUUUGAUUGCCAGAUUACAUGAUUCUGUAUUGAAAUGGCUGUACUCGGACGGCAGUGUUUUUAUUGUUAUUACUAAGAUUAUCUUUUGUUCUUACUGUAAAUGGUAACAAAACAAUAACUGCUUCCUUACACUAUAAAAGGAAUAAAGACCCACUUACAGAAUGUCUCCAAACAGAAAACGUCCCUAGAGAAAAGACAUUUGGAAUAAAUAAUUCAUGGAACAGUGGGAGAGUAGGGGAAAAAAAAGGUAUUUGCUGUAUUCUGGUACUUCAAACUGGAUGUUUUAAACAGAGGCUGUUUUAAUGGAGAGCAAGAUGUGCUUUAAGGAAGAACAGCUGUAGGGAAGUCAGUUCUCUCUGCAUUUGUACCCACACU